AGGCAGCAUGUAACACACUCACAAUAUCCAGCAUCCAGACCGGGCGUCUGAUGUAGACUUUCAGGAACUUCACUGGGUCGUAGAGAAAUUAGGAAAGGUUUUUAGGAUGAACAUGUCUCUCCCAUCAGAAGGCAGAACCCGACGGGGAGAAGAACAAUGGACAGAGCAUUGGCUGUUUGUGGUGUAUCGCAUGGGUUUCCUACGGUGCUGGGCAUGAGUCCCUCGGAUUAGUACCCACCUGUUAUACUCGGGCAAGUGCCCUGCAUCUUCUGAGCCUUAGCGUCCUCCUGUGAGUGCUGAUUUUGCACUCUCGGAACCGCAUAUUUAAGAAGGUGCUGUCCUGUGGAGGAGCAGUGUUAUUUCGCGAGAGCUCCCUGAGUGGGGGGAUGACUUCUUUCUUCCAG
rnacentral:lncRNA from 1 species